rnacentral:rRNA from 1 species
AUAUACAACCACAGCCGCUAGCAGUAAUUACAAUCCCGUCUGAUCUCGCAUAAUAACCUAGCAAGCGCUAGAUUAGUAGUUAGGUCGGUAACGACCAGCGAAUACCUAGUAUUGUAUAUU